rnacentral:rRNA from 1 species
ACAUGCAAGUCGUACGCACUGGCCCAACUGAUUGAUGGUGCUUGCACCGGAUUGACGUUGGAUCACCAGUGAGUGGCGGACGGGUGAGUAACACGUAGGUAACCUGCCCCGGAGCGGUGGAUAACAUUUGGAAACAGAUGCUAAUACCGCAUAACAACAAAAGCCACAUGGCUUUUGUUUGAAAGAUGGCUUUGGCUAUCACUCUGGGAUGGACCUGCGGUGCAUUAGCUAGUUGGUAAGGUAACGGCUUACCAAGGCGAUGAUGCAUAGCCGAGUUGAGAGACUGAUCGGCCACAAUGGAACUGAGACACGGUCCAUACUCCUACGGGAGGCAGCAGUAGGGAAUCUUCCACAAUGGGCGCAAGCCUGAUGGAGCAACACCGCGUGAGUGAAGAAGGGUUUCGGCUCGUAAAGCUCUGUUGUUGGAGAAGAACGUGCGUGAGAGUAACUGUUCACGCAGUGACGGUAUCCAACCAGAAAGUCACGGCUAACUACGUGCCAGCAGCCGCGGUAAUACGUAGGUGGCAAGCGUUAUCCGGAUUUAUUGGGCGUAAAGCGAGCGCAGGCGGUUGCUUAGGUCUGAUGUGAAAGCCUUCGGCUUAACCGAAGAAGUGCAUCGGAAACCGGGCGACUUGAGUGCAGAAGAGGACAGUGGAACUCCAUGUGUAGCGGUGGAAUGCGUAGAUAUAUGGAAGAACACCAGUGGCGAAGGCGGCUGUCUGGUCUGCAACUGACGCUGAGGCUCGAAAGCAUGGGUAGCGAACAGGAUUAGAUACCCUGGUAGUCCAUGCCGUAAACGAUGAGUGCUAGGUGUUGGAGGGUUUCCGCCCUUCAGUGCCGGAGCUAACGCAUUAAGCACUCCGCCUGGGGAGUACGACCGCAAGGUUGAAACUCAAAGGAAUUGACGGGGGCCCGCACAAGCGGUGGAGCAUGUGGUUUAAUUCGAAGCUACGCGAAGAACCUUACCAGGUCUUGACAUCUUGCGCUAACCUUAGAGAUAAGGCGUUCCCUUCGGGGACGCAAUGACAGGUGGUGCAUGGUCGUCGUCAGCUCGUGUCGUGAGAUGUUGGGUUAAGUCCCGCAACGAGCGCAACCCUUGUUACUAGUUGCCAGCAUUAAGUUGGGCACUCUAGUGAGACUGCCGGUGACAAACCGGAGGAAGGUGGGGACGACGUCAGAUCAUCAUGCCCCUUAUGACCUGGGCUACACACGUGCUACAAUGGACGGUACAACGAGUCGCAAGCUCGCGAGAGUAAGCUAAUCUCUUAAAGCCGUUCUCAGUUCGGACUGUAGGCUGCAACUCGCCUACACGAAGUCGGAAUCGCUAGUAAUCGCGGAUCAGCAUGCCGCGGUGAAUACGUUCCCGGGCCUUGUACACACCGCCCGUCACACCAUGGGAGUUUGUAACGCCCAAAGUCGGUGGCCUAACCUUUAUGGAGGGAGCCGCCUAAGGCGGGACAGAUGACUGGGGUGAAGU